rnacentral:rRNA from 1 species
GACGAACGCUGGCGGCGUGCUUAACACAUGCAAGUCGAACGGAAAGGCCCUGCUUUUGUGUGGUUCUCGAGUGGCGCACGGGUGAGUAUCACGUGAGUAACCUCCCCUUGUCUUUGGGAUAACUUCACGAAACUCGGGCUAUUACCGCAUAGGAGCUCCUGCUGCAUGGUGGGGGUUGGAAAGUUUCGGCGGUUGGGGAUGGACUCGCGGCUUAUCAGCUAGUUGGUGGGGUAGUGACUUACCAAGGCUUUGACGGGUAGCCGGCCUGAGAGGGUGACCGGCGACAUUGGGACUGAGAUACGGCCCAGAAGCCUACGGUAGGCAGCAGUGGGGAAUAUUGCGCAAUGGGCGGAAGCCUGAUGCAGCAACGCCGCGUGCGGGAUGACGGCCUACUGGUUGUAAACCGCUUUCGCCGGAGACGAAGCGUGAGUGACGGUAAUGGGUAAAGAAGCAACGGCUAACUACGUG